rnacentral:lncRNA from 1 species
GUGUUUCGACGUCGCGGUUAGUAUCAUAAUAUUAUUAUUUUUUGUUUAGACUCUUUUGAUAAAUUUUUAUAGAAAUUGAGAGUUUGAAACUGAUUUUUUAUACAUUUUAGGAGAUGAUUUCGUGGUUGUCGUUUAGACUAAGAUUGUUGUAGCAUAUUAUCUGACUAUAUAUUUCGACUGUUAUUGUGCUUCUUUGAUUAUUGCAUUUGACAACAAUCUGCAUGCUAUAUUGAAUUUGACGGUGAUACUAUACUCAGUUGAGAUAACGUCCUGUGAGUGCCACUCUAGAAGUUGGGCUAUGAGAUAUUAUUAUGUCAUGGGUCAGACACUAGUCUAUGUGGUAACAAACACUAUAGGUGGGUGCUGGACACGAGAUAGGGCAGAUAGGGCAGACUAGACCUGAUUGUUACUAUGAUUGGGUCAUAUUACUAUAUUUCAUUCAGUAACUAAUUGAUGCAUGACAUAUAUGAAUUGCAGAUUUCAGUUAUAUUUUAGAGGUAUGAUAGUAGUAGUUACAUUCAGCAAUU